GAGGGUAUAGCUCAAGUGGUAGAGCAUGUGCUUAGCAUGCAUGAGGUCCUGGGUUCAUUUCCCAGUACCUCA
rnacentral:tRNA from 1 species